rnacentral:lncRNA from 10 species
AGUCGGAGUAAGAAUGCCUGCAGAGACCUGGACCAGAGUGGGCAGAAUGGAGAUGGAGUCUCACUCUGCCGCCCGAGCUGGAGUACAGUGGUGUGAUCUCGGCUCACUGCAACCUCCACCACCUGGGUUCAAGCGAUUCUCCUGUCUCAGCUUCCCGAAUAGCUGGGACAACAGGGUAUCACUCCAAUGCCCAGGCUGGAGUACAGUGGCGCUAUCUCGGCUCACUGCAACUUCCGCCUCCCAGGUUCAGCACCUGGCAACCAUCAUUCUAUUGUCUGCUACUAUGAGUUUCCAACAGGUGUAUGAAAAUGUGCUCAGCAUUGCUAAUCAUCAGGGAAAUGCUGGAGUAUAGUGGUGCGAUCAUAGCUAGCUGCAGCCUUGAACUCCUCCUCAAGCAAUCCUUCCUCCUUGGCCUCGCAAAGUCCUGGGAUUACAGGCGUGAGCUACUGGGCCUGACCUACAAAAUGUUUUAUGCUUUCGGCCUAAAUAGUGUUCCUUGGAGAGAAAAUUACCCUGGGAAUGAAUAAACAAGAGCAAUGCAAAUGGCUCCUAGAGUAGAUCCAUGAAGAACACUCAGAAUCUUCUGCUGAACUGCCACAUAUUUAGCACAUUACAAGACUUAUCUUCAGGAGAGAAGCAGUAACACAGUACCUAUUUCAAAGUUACAUUGGAAAUGAAUAUCUGAAUUUUCAUUCAUUUUGAAGAAAAAUGAAGUAAUUAUGUUGGUGGAAUGUGAUAAAAAGAAAGAAUAUGUUGACAUCUUCAAAGAUAGCAAAAAGCAUGUUUAUCAAAGAAUUAUUAACCUUGGUUCAGUUUUCUACAUAAAUCUCUGCACACAAUAGCUAUUUCUCCUUGCAAAGUAUUAAAAUGGAGUUAAUUUUCAAAUAUUCUUAUAGGAACUUCAAAGGAAUUAGUAAAUUCAGAAUAUGACCAGCUUCAAAUGCACAAACUAAGGUUUCAGAUCCAUAACCAAAGCAUGAAAGCCUUACAGAAUGCAGAGGAAACACCUACCUUGAGUUCUUUCCAGACUAUAUUCUUACACUUUCUCACCAUUAUGCCCCCUUUUGGCGUUCAAUGUCAUAUUUAAAUUGACUCUAAACUAAUGGAGAAGCAGAGUUUUUCCCUAUACUACUUUAGUGCCUCUUUACAUGGCUUGUCAGGUUUAGGCUCAUAAGUUAAGUUUAAUUAAUUUAACUUUAACCCUCCACAAUCUGAAAUGAAGUAGGAAAGCAGAAAAGAAAUAAUAUUUUGAGGUUUGAGUAAAAUUACACUUCUUCACAAUUAAUAUGUUAUUGUAUUUUUAUUUUUAAUAAAUGUGGAAAGAUGUUAAGGGAAAAACAGGUAUAAUAAAUAAAUAGUAAAACUUAUAAUACAAGCAUUUAAGAAUUUGGAAAAUGAAUAAAAUCAAGCAGCACAUUAGAAAGUUAAUUCAUGAUUAUCAGGUAGGCUUUUUUCCUGGUAUACAGUGCUAGUUCAAAAUAUGCAGAUCAAUAAAUGUGAUUCACCACAUAAACAGAAUUAAAACAAAAACCAUACAAUCAUCUUAACAGAAACAAGGCUACAGAAAAAAGUUCUGGUAAAAUCUGAUAUCUCUUUAUGAUAAAAAUCCUCAACAAAGUAGGAAUCAGAGGAACAUAUCUCAAAAUAAUAAGAGCCAUCUAUGACAAACCUACAGUCAACAUCAUACUGAACAGGUGAAAGCUGGAAGCAUUCCCCUUAAGGGGAGCAAGACAAGGAUACCCACUGUCACCACUCCUAUUCAACAUAGUACUGGAAGUCCUAGCCAGAGCAAUCAGGCAAGAGAAAGAAAGAAAGAGCAUCUAAAUAGAAAAUGAAGUCAAAUUAUCUCUUUUCACUGGUGAUAUGAUUCUAUACCUAGAAAACCUGAAAGACUCUGCCAAGACUCCUAGAGGCAAUAAACAACUUCAGUAAAGUUUCAGAAUACAAAAUCAAUGUACAAAAAUCAGUAGCAUUUCUACAUACCAUUAACAUUCAAGAUGAGAGCCAAAUCAGGAAUGCAAUACCGUUUAUAAUAGCUACAAAGAUUAAAGUACCCAGG